AGCAGAUGAGCCUCUUUCCAACGUAUAAUCAGAAGGUCAGUAGUAGCCUGCUGCUACGUCACUGUGGCUGCGUCAUUCCCCUCAAUUCAUCUCAUCAUCUAGGCAUUUUAUCAUCUCAAAGCAUCACAAGAAGGAGGAACCUAAUCAAGUUGUCGCAGGAGAGUCCUCCAGGUCAUGUAAUCACAUUUGUACCUGACAAGACUUUCAGGGUCUUCUAAAGAAGGGCUGCUGGUGGAAGGGACCAGCCCAUGAACAGCCACACAGGAGUCGGCAGUCACGCCAUUUUCUAGCUGAAGAAAAUAUGGCUUCCAAGAAGAUCCAUGAUCUAGCAUCCGAGAGACCGCAGUGGGAUUCACAGGGAAGUUUGUCACCAAAGGCAGACUGGAGCUUGUGAGCCAUUCCUGGGCUGUAUGUGCAUUUCCUGAGGAGCCAUUGGAGCGGGCAUGGCCCCAGAAGCCACUGGUGACAUGUUGUGAGAACACCAUAGCUUGUGGGAAACCUGGGUGGCUCAGUCGGCUUCAGCUUGGGCCAUGAUCCCAGAGUCCUGGGAUUGAGCCCC